rnacentral:rRNA from 1 species
CAGUAGCCGCGGUAAUACAGAGGGUGCAAGCGUUAAUCGGAAUUACUGGGCGUAAAGCGCGCAUAGGUGGUUUGUUAAGUUGGAUGUGAAAUCCCCGGGCUCAACCUGGGAACUGCAUCCAAAACUGGCAAGCUAGAGUAUGGUAGAGGGUGGUGGAAUUUCCUGUGUAGCGGUGAAAUGCGUAGAUAUAGGAAGGAACACCAGUGGCGAAGGCGACCACCUGGACUGAUACUGACACUGAGGUGCGAAAGCGUGGGGAGCAAACAGGAUUAGAUACCCGCGUAGUCCCUGUCUCUUAUAC